GAGGACGAAGAACUGCUACCAACCAACCCAAUGUGAACGUUACCAAACUGUUGCCUCCGGCGGGAUCUCUGCCCCGGGUGCGUCGCAGCCCCGGACCAAGGCGCCCGCCGGAGGACCAACCAAAACUCUUAUUGUAUACCCCCUCGCGGGUUUUUUUUAUAAUCUGAGCCUUCUCGGCGCCUCUCGUAGGCGUUUCGAAAAUGAAUCAAAACUUUCAACAACGGAUCUCUUGGUUCUGGCAUCGAUGAAGAACGCAGCGAAAUGCGAUAAGUAAUGUGAAUUGCAGAAUUCAGUGAAUCAUCGAAUCUUUGAACGCACAUUGCGCCCGCCAGUAUUCUGGCGGGCAUGCCUGUCCGAGCGUCAUUUCAACCCUCGAACCCCUCCGGGGGGUCGGCGUUGGGGAUCGGCCCUGCCUUGGCGGUGGCCGUCUCCGAAAUACAGUGGCGGUCUCGCCGCAGCCUCUCCUGCGCAGUAGUUUGCACACUCGCAUCGGGAGCGCGGCGCGUCCACAGCCGUUAAACACCCAACUUCUGAAAUGUUGACCUCGGAUCAGGUAGGAAUACCCGCUGAACUUAAGCAUAUCAAAUCCCGGAGAGAAAA
rnacentral:rRNA from 1 species